GAUGAAGAACGCAGCGAAAUGCGAUAAGUAGUGUGAAUUGCAGAAUUCAGUGAAUCAUCGAAUCUUUGAACGCACAUUGCGCCCCAUGGUAUUCCGUGGGGCAUGCCUGUUCGAGCGUCAUUAUCACCCCUCAAGCCCUCGGCUUGGUGUUGGACGGUUUGGUGGAGGCCCCCUCGGGGGCUCCUGCCCCUCCCAAAGACAAUGACGGCGGCCUCGUUGGACCCCCGGUACACUGAGUUCUUCACGGGACACGUAUCGGACACAUGGGUUUACGGGACACGGUCUGCCUCCCCUCAGGGAGAAUCUUUCUAAGGUUGACCUCGGAUCAGGUAGGGAUACCCGCUGAACUUAAGCAUAUCAAUAAGCGGAGGA
rnacentral:misc_RNA from 1 species